rnacentral:rRNA from 1 species
UUUCCCACCGCAAGGGUAAGACCCCAGAAAGACUAUCUGGUUGAUAGGUCGAAGGUGUAAGUGCAGCAAUGUAUUUAGCUUAUCGAUACUAAUAGGUCGAGGACUUGACCAAUAUU